rnacentral:rRNA from 1 species
AUGGCGAAGGACAAGAAAGUUGAUAGGCUCAGCGCAUUGCCUGAUGACGUUCUAGUCAACAUUCUUGACCGGCUCAAUGUCCGUGAGGCUGCAAGAACCAGCAUCCUCUCCAGACGGUGGACUCGGCUCUGUGCCAAGCUGUCUCGGCUUAUAAUAAGCUCUCUGGACUUCCUGCCAAAGGGUGUGUCGUGCACCGGCAUAUCUGAUGAUGAAUUGAUCCGCAUCAAUGCAGCUGUGUUUCAAGCGACAGAUAGCAUAUUGACACGCAGAAAUCCUGGAGAGCACACCAUCCGCCUUCUGUCCACAACGUUCUACUUGAGAGAUGAUAUCCCCAUAUCCAUUGGGCGUGCUGUUGACCAUGCCAUGGCGGCACACUUGGUUGACAAUGUCAAAUUCAGUGUUAUGACAGUGAAGUAUGAGAUCAUUGACAUGGUUGAGGAUGAUCUGGUCACCUCUGCGAGAAAUUUCAUGUUCUUCUUUGAUGCCUGUCCAAGUGCAUUUGGUGGUCUCACUACCCUCGACCUAGAGAAUUUGAGAUUUGGUGAAUCAGACAUAUCCAACGUCCUCGUCACUUGCAAGUGCUUGAGGCAUCUGCGUUUGUACAAUUGUGACUCUGGUAUUUGCAGCACGCUGCAAGUUGAACACGCUCGUCUCAGGGAGCUUAGUAUUUUCCACUGUAUGGUUGAACGAGUUGAGCUGAACUGGCUCCCUCAACUCACAACUAUGGUCUUUGAAGGUUGGCUACAAUUCCAAGAUCCACUGUUCAUUGGUCAUGUCCCAUUGCUGGAGGUUGUAAGCCUCACAAAUCUUGCCCUUCGUUACCACAAGAUGGUGUUGUUAAGUGAGUUUCUUAGCGGUACCUCUAUACGAGAUCUAAAGUUGGCAUUUAAUUCCAAAAAGAUUUGGGUGCAGUCGGAAUACCCGACGCCAUGUCUGGCAUCUGUUUUCCGUCAGCUAAGGUUUAUGAAUCUACCUCAUCUUCCUGAAGGGUAUGAUCUCACCUAG